GACGAACGCUGGCGGCGUGCUUAACACAUGCAAGUCGAACGGAAAGGCCCCCUUGUGGGGUACUCGAGUGGCGAACGGGUGAGUAACACGUGAGUAACCUACCCUUGACUUUGGGAUAACUUCAGGAAACUGGGGCUAAUACCGGAUAGGAGCUCCUGCUGCAUGGUGGGGGUUGGAAAGUUUCGGCGGUUGGGGAUGGACUCGCGGCUUAUCAGCUUGUUGGUGGGGUAGUGGCUCACCAAGGCUUUGACGGGUAGCCGGCCUGAGAGGGUGACCGGCCACAUUGGGACUGAGAUACGGCCCAGACUCCUACGGGAGGCAGCAGUGGGGAAUAUUGCACAAUGGGCGGAAGCCUGAUGCAGCAACGCCGCGUGCGGGAUGACGGCCUUCGGGAUGUAAACCGCUUUCGCCUGUGACGAAGCGUGAGUGACGGUAAUGGGUAAAGAAGCACCGGCUAACUACGUG
rnacentral:rRNA from 1 species